UACGUAGGGGGCAAGCGUUGUCCGGAUUUAUUGGGCGUAAAGAGCGUGUAGGCGGCCAGACAGGUCCGCUGUGAAAACUCGAGGCUCAACCUCGAGAUGUCGGUGGAAACCGUCUGGCUAGAGUCCGGAAGAGGAGAGUGGAAUUCCCGGUGUAGCGGUGAAAUGCGCAGAUAUCGGGAAGAACACCCGUGGCGAAGGCGGCUCUCUGGGACGGUACUGACGCUGAGACGCAAAAGCGUGGGGAGCGAACAGG
rnacentral:rRNA from 1 species